rnacentral:rRNA from 1 species
UACGUAGGGUGCAAGCGUUUAAUCGGAAUUACUGGGCGUAAAGCGUGCGCAGGCGGUGAUGUAAGACCGAUGUGAAAUCCCCGGGCUUAACCUGGGAACUGCAUUGGUGACUGCAUCGCUCGAGUAUGGCAGGAGGGGGGUAGAAUUCCACGUGUAGCAGUGAAAUGCGUAGAGAUGUGGAGGAAUACCGAUGGCGAAGGCCAGCCCCCUGGGUCAAUACUGACGCUCAUGCACGAAAGCGUGGGGAGCAAACAGG